rnacentral:rRNA from 1 species
UACAGAGGGUGCAAACGUUGCUCGGAAUCAUUGGGCGUAAAGCGCACGUAGGCGGGCUUGUAAGUCAGGAGUGAAAGCCCUCGGCUUAACCGGGGAAGUGCUUUUGAAACUGCAAGACUUGAAUACUGGAGAGGAUCGCGGAAUUCCCGGUGUAGAGGUGAAAUUCGUAGAUAUCGGGAGGAACACCAGUGGCGAAGGCGGCGAUCUGGACAGAUAUUGACGCUGAGGUGCGAAAGCGUGGGGAGCAAACAGG